GCAGGCAAUUUGAAUGGAAGAGAGCGGCCUCCUCCCUCAGCCCGGUGCUUGGAGGCCUGCAAAUGCAAAGAUCCUGCCCGCCUCUUGUUCGCUCUCAGUAUGUGGCUUAGGUGACCGAUGCAGACAUAAGCAGACAGCCCCGCUCUCGUCGUGCCCCCCCCCCCGCGUAGUUAAGAGAAAAACGAAGGAAGGAGGCAAUUGGCGUUGGACUGUUGACAAGACAGGGAGCGCGGCGGCCCCUGUGUUCCGACAGGGAGAGAAGCAAAAGCGCUGCAGCCUCAGAGCCACUGGUAGAGACCGACACGUUGAUUUCGCCUUGAAGGCUUUGUGGCUGGCCAGAGUCCACAUUCUCCAGAGCACGUUUAGCUCACGUGGUACCUAGUCAAAUCGACUUCAGUGGGAUUUACUUCCCAGCAAGACCGAAUUUGCCCUGAUAGCAACAAUACCGUACGUAGUUUGGAGGGUCAUUUGAAUCAAGUGUGUUUCUGCAGAAGCCAGCCAUUGAGGUCAAUGGUGCUCAGUCUCACAGAGCUGUGGCGAUCUCCUUACUGUUACCAAGCCCACCUCAUGCUUGUGUCGGAACCGUGGGAUGGAAAGCCAGCUGGCUUGGCCCCAGCCGGAGCGUCUCCCUUCUCAGCCUUGCCACUGUGGAGAUCCGUCAGUCAUCCACCUCCGACGUGCAUCCGCGACUCACGCUGCUGUGCAUGCAUGAGCACACAUUACUCAGCAGAGUAAACACACAACAGAUCUGGCUUGAGGUGUGGAUACUAGACUACAUUUAUUGUACAUAAAUCAGGACAAAGAAAACA